CCCAAUCCGCCGCAGGGGCUAGGUUUCCUCGACAAUGUUCGUCAGUCGAGGGUUAGUCGGUCCUAAGACGUACCGUAAUUCGAGUACGCCGAAAGGGAAACAGGUUAAUAUUCCUGUACCUGUAUCAAACAAUCCUGACGCUUUCGGAUAGGCAUUGCGGAGUCAUCGCUCCGUCUAAGCCGGAUAUGAAAUUGGAGUACCGUAAUGGUGAGAAUUUUUCAAAACGGUGAUGGGGUAACAAUGCUGAUUCCAGGAGCCCGUGAAAAGGGUGAUACGGUCCGUACCGAGAACUGACACAGGUGCCCCUCGCUGAGAAGGCGAAGGCGUGUCGGGAGUAAAUGUGUUAAGGGAACUCGGCAAAUUAGCCCUGUAACUUUGGGAUAAGGGGUGCCUGCCCAGCGAUUGGGCAGGUCGCAGUGACAAGAUCGCUCCGACUGUCUAAUAACAACAUAGCAGACUGCAACUCCGAAAGGACUCGUAUAGUCUGUGAUUCCUGCCCCGUGCGAGUAUCUGAACAUCGGGUUCAACCGGACGAAGGACUCGUAAACGGCGGGGGUAACAAUGACCCUCUUAAGGUAGCGUAGUACCUUGUCGCUUAAUUGGCGACUUGCAUGAAUGGAAUAACGAGAGCGAUACUGUCCCUAACACAUACCCGUUGAACCUUUUGUACUAGUGCAGAGACUAGUGACUCCUUAUGGGAAGUGAAGACCCCGUGGAGCUUUACUGCAGCCUGUCGUUGGGUUACGGUAUUACCUGCGCAGGGUAGAUGGGAGACGUCGAUCCAACCCUUGUGGGGGUUGGUUAGUCACCGAUGAGACACCAUCCUGGUUUUAUUGUAAUUCUAACUGAUUUAUCAGGACAUCGAUAGGUAGGCAGUUUGGGUGGGGCGCCACACCCUCGAAAAAAUAUCAAGAGUGCCCUAAGGUCAACUCAAGCGGGUCAGAAACCCGCUGAAGAGUGUCAAGAGCAAAAGUUGGCCUGACGCGAUUUCGCAUAGCAAGAAAUCGCGAGAGGAAACUCGGGUCUAACGAACCAAUACGCCCUGUUGAUGAGGGCUAUUGACUACAGAAAAGCUACCCCGGGGAUAACAGAGUCGUCGCCGGCAAGAGCACAUAUCGACCCGGCGGCUUGCUACCUCGAUGUCGGUUCUUUCCAUCCUGGCUGUGCAGCAGCAGCCAAGGGUGAGGUUGUUCGCCUAUUAAAGGGGAUCGUGAGCUGGGUUUAGACCGUCGUGAGACAGGUCGGUUACUAUCUAUAAGGAGUGUUGGAAGUCUGAAGGCAAGAAUGAAAUAGUACGAGAGGAACUUUCAUUCGGCGCCACUGGUCUACCGGUUGUCUGACAAGGCAACGACGGGCAGCUACGCGCCAAGAGAUAAAAGCUGAAAGCAUCUAAGCUUGAAACUCAGCCUGAACAAGAGACUUCAUUAAAGACACGGGUAAAAGACCCGGUUGAUAGGUUCGGGAUGUACGCACGAAGGCAACGACGUGUUCAGUCCGCGAAUACUAAUCGUCUUAAU
rnacentral:rRNA from 1 species